UACGUAGGGUGCAAGCGUUGUCCGGAAUUAUUGGGCGUAAAGAGCUCGUAGGCGGUUUGUCGCGUCUGCUGUGAAACCCGAGGCUCAACCUCGGGCCUGCAGUCGAUACGGGCAGACUAGAGUUCGGUAGGGAGACUGGAAUUCCUGGUGUAGCGGUGAAAUGCGCAGAUAUCAGGAGGAACACCGGUGGCGAAGGCGGGUCUCUGGGCCAAACUGACUGCUGAGGAGCGAAAGCGUGGGGAGCGAACAGG
rnacentral:rRNA from 1 species